AAACUGGAGGAAGUGGGGAUGACGUCAAGUCAUCAUGGCCCUUACGACCAGGGCUACACACGUGCUACAAUGGCGCAUACAAAGAGAAGCGACCUCGCGAGAGCAAGCGGACCUCAUAAAGUGCGUCGUAGUCCGGAUUGGAGUCUGCAACUCGACUCCAUGAAGUCGGAAUCGCUAGUAAUCGUGGAUCAGAAUGCCACGGUGAAUACGUUCCCGGGCCUU
rnacentral:rRNA from 1 species